AACCAACGUCCAAAUACUUGGAACUUGGAUUAGUCAUGAAUAACGAUUAAAUAUUAUAUGAUUUAUUUCCUCGUACGUAUGUUUGGUUUGUCAUGUAUUUUUCUUAAUUGAACGGACACGCAUAAAUUAAGGUUAACUAAAAGGUUAAGUAGCGCCACGCCCGGUAGAAAAUAGUAUGAUCUCGAUCGAUUGGACAUUCGAUAAUCGCUAGCUAUGAUUGCGAUUCUCGAAGUGAGAGUAAGAGACAAUGGCGUCGUUUCCAGUCACAUGUUUCUUGGUUAUUGUUCGAAAUUAUUCUUUUAACUUUGUGCGUGAAAUAUCUAAUAGAUUUAAGAACAGAGUGAUAUUUUAUAUAUAUACGAUUCGUGAUUAGUUUCAAAAACAAUUAUCUAAUUCAACUUUUAAAGAAAAGUUCAAUAAUAUGAUGGUAGUUUAAUCGCAAAAUGAUUAGUUGUUUCAAUUUUUGAAUAUAAUGAAAGUAAGAAAAAUACAUGAUAAUUUUACGACGUAGAAAAAGAAAAAAUUUCAUUGAAGGUUAUUCGUACAACGUGAAAGAAAUGGAAAUAAAUCAUCCUUGGCAAUACAGGAAUAUAAUCAAGCAAAUCUCAAAUCGUUUCUCUCUCUUUUUUUUUUGCAUUGGUCAUAUCUAAUGCUUAUACUAAUGUUUCAAAUUGUUUCAAUUGAAUUGAAGUAUUCGAAAAAUGAGGAAAAAUGAAGAAAAAAAAGUAACGAAGUGUUUCAAUUUUGGAAGGUUGGCAAGAUACAAGUGAUAAUCCAGUACUUCAGCAAGGCGUAACAAGUGUCUGUGUGACGUCACGCGGCUUUCUGGAGGCGGAGCCUGUGAUUGGGAGAGCAAGUGGGGGUGGGCUCUCCCGUAUCGUGGAUCGUUUGCCCCACCCUCGGGAUUUUGUUCCUUCGUACCACCGCUACUUUCAACCUCCUCCUUUUCUCUCCCUCGAUCUCUUUUCCUCUCUUUUGAAGUUUGUUCGGUGACCCCCCACCAACCUGUGUACUCCACCAGGUAGGAAGCUGUUACCUGUGAUAGCCAUUGCAAAAUGCAAUCCAGGUGGAACUUAUAGAACUGUAUAUUUGAUAUAUUUUUCUGUAAACUGGCGCCAGACUGUUAAUAAAGGUGCAAGGUUUUCUUUAAGCGAAA